AUUGAGCGCUGGCGGCAGGCCUAACACAUGCAAGUCGAGCGGAUGAAGGGAGCUUGCUCCUGGAUUCAGCGGCGGACGGGUGAGUAAUGCCUAGGAAUCUGCCUGGUAGUGGGGGAUAACGUCCGGAAACGGGCGCUAAUACCGCAUACGUCCUGAGGGAGAAAGUGGGGGAUCUUCGGACCUCACGCUAUCAGAUGAGCCUAGGUCGGAUUAGCUAGUUGGUGGGGUAAAGGCCUACCAAGGCGACGAUCCGUAACUGGUCUGAGAGGAUGAUCAGUCACACUGGAACUGAGACACGGUCCAGACUCCUACGGGAGGCAGCAGUGGGGAAUAUUGGACAAUGGGCGAAAGCCUGAUCCAGCCAUGCCGCGUGUGUGAAGAAGGUCUUCGGAUUGUAAAGCACUUUAAGCUGGGAGGAAGGGCAGUAAGUUAAUACCUUGCUGUUUUGACGUUACCAACAGAAUAAGCACCGGCUAACUUCGUG
rnacentral:rRNA from 1 species